rnacentral:tRNA from 1 species
GGCAAAAUGGCUGAGAAAAGCAUUAGACUGUAACUCUGAAUACAAAGAUUAAGCUGUCUUUUUGCCA